CGGACGGGUGAGUAAUGCUUGGGAAUCUGGCUUAUGGAGGGGGAUAACUACGGGAAACUGUAGCUAAUACCGCGUAAUAUCUUCGGAUUAAAGGGUGGGACUUUCGGGCCACCUGCCAUAAGAUGAGCCCAAGUGGGAUUAGGUAGUUGGUGGGGUAAAGGCCUACCAAGCCGACGAUCUCUAGCUGGUCUGAGAGGAUGACCAGCCACACUGGAACUGAGACACGGUCCAGACUCCUACGGGAGGCAGCAGUGGGGAAUAUUGCACAAUGGGGGGAACCCUGAUGCAGCCAUGCCGCGUGAAUGAAGAAGGCCUUCGGGUUGUAAAGUUCUUUCGGUGAUGAGGAAGGUGUUUGUUUUAAUAGAACAAGCAAUUGACGUUAGUCACAGAAGAAGCACCGGCUAACUCCGUGCCAGCAGCCGCGGUAAUACGGAGGGUGCGAGCGUUAAUCGGAAUGACUGGGCGUAAAGGGCACGCAGGCGGUGACUUAAGUGAGAUGUGAAAGCCCCGGGCUUAACCUGGGAAUUGCAUUUCAUACUGGGUCGCUAGAGUAUUUUAGGGAGGGGUAGAAUUCCACGUGUAGCGGUGAAAUGCGUAGAGAUGUGGAGGAAUACCGAAGGCGAAGGCAGCCCCUUGGGAAUAUACUGACGCUCAUGUGCGAAAGCGUGGGGAGCAAACAGGAUUAGAUACCCUGGUAGUCCACGCUGUAAACGCUGUCGAUUUGGGGAUUGGGCUUUAAGCUUGGUGCCCGUAGCUAACGUGAUAAAUCGACCG
rnacentral:rRNA from 1 species